CAUCAGGAGGGCUUUAAACUGACUAAUGUGGGGGAGGGAGACAGUGCUCCUGAAGGUAGGAGUCUAUCAAUUGAUGAAGAUGAUCAUCCAAAUGUCAUAGACCAAAUGGAGCAAACAGCACACAGACCUAGUGGUGGGAGGAAAAAAUCCUUAAAUAAGAGACACGGGGCAAUGAUUAAUGGACUUCAAUGUCUGUACACUAAUGCGCAAAGCAUGGGAAAUAAACAAGAUGAGCUUGAGCUCUUGGUACAGCAAACUAAAUAUGACAUAAUAGGCAUCACUGAAAC